rnacentral:rRNA from 1 species
UAGGGGGCAAGCGUUGUCCGGAUUUAUUGGGCGUAAAGAGCGUGUAGGCGGCCAGGGAGGUCCGUUGUGAAAACUCGAGGCUCAACCUCGAGACGCCGAUGGAAACCCCCUGGCUAGAGUCCGGAAGAGGAGAGUGGAAUUCCUGGUGUAGCGGUGAAAUGCGCAGAUAUCAGGAAGAACACCCGUGGCUAAGGCGGCUCUCUAGUACGGUACUGACGCUGAGACGCGAAAGCGUGGGGAGCGAACAGG